rnacentral:lncRNA from 1 species
CCAUCUAUUUGUUGAAAUCUGCCGGAUGCAAACUAAACUUCAAGAGUAACCGACCCGGCCACAAAGUGGUGAUCUUUCAUUUGAUUGAAGAAGAGACAGAGAGGAUCAUCACAUCAUCAGACACUCAAUAGGCAUGGCUGCUGAUGCACUCCACCAGUAAAGAACAGGACAACAUGCUACUACAUGACUAAAGGCAAUGGGAUGC